GGCGGGAGCGGAGCACGGGGUGAUCUGGGCACUAACGCUGAUGGGGAGCAGCGGACAUCAGCCUCGACCUCCCACGAGCGGUGCACGAGCGCCUGACCCAGACCUCGACCCUAGCCUUCACCCCCACCCUGACUCCAGUUCAUGAACUGGUCAAAGGAAGAGCCAUGCCAGCAAACGUCUACACUGUACAUGCUUUUUAUUACAAGACUACGGAGCAUAGGAGGAAAAUUCAUCAUCUGGAAAAGAACUACAGCCUGUGUGGGUCCCCUCCCGACAAUUAAAAUUGCACCAUAACUCCAAAGAUGAAACGCUCCCAGAAAGAAAAGGCAAAGACCCAUCGGAAACAAAAGAGCAACUUUCACCGCCUGAUACAUACACUUCAUGACAUCCACAUUGAGACAAAAUCUCGCCGUGUGACCUACAACACCUCUCGUUCAACCCCACCUACUUGGGGUCGAAUACAGAUUUUAUCUCAUCAAACAGAAAAAUUCUUAACAGAAAAAGGAAUCCCAAAAAUGACUGGUAAUAUAAUUCUGGCUGCCUUUAUGGUAGUCAGUGCAGCGAUGCCUCUAAGGAGUCCGAAACCAAGUCCGAAGUCAACAACAAGCAAUGAUGGCGAUGGCGAUUCUAGUUAAUAAAAAGGGGGGAGAUGUGGGCGGCAAGCCACCCAGGCACCGAGGCAAGAGACAGAGGACACGAGCUGUUCCAGUAUAAUAAAAUAUAAAACAAGAAUAGUUAUACCAGA
ensembl:lncRNA ERVK13-1 endogenous retrovirus group K13 member 1